rnacentral:rRNA from 1 species
CCUACGGGGGGCAGCAGUGAGGAAUAUUGGUCAAUGGCCGGAAGGCUGAACCAGCCAAGUCGCGUGAGGGAAUAAGGCCCUAUGGGUCGUAAACCUCUUUUGUCAGGGAGCAAAGGCGUCCACGUGUGGACGAGAGGAGAGUACCUGAAGAAAAAGCAUCGGCUAACUCCGUGCCAGCAGCCGCGGUAAUACGGAGGAUGCGAGCGUUAUCCGGAUUUAUUGGGUUUAAAGGGUGCGCAGGCGGAGGUGCAAGUCAGCGGUCAAAUUGCGGGGCUCAACCCCGUACUGCCGUUGAAACUGCAUCCCUUGAGUGCGCGAGAAGUAUGCGGAAUGCGUGGUGUAGCGGUGAAAUGCAUAGAUAUCACGCAGAACUCCGAUUGCGAAGGCAGCAUACCGGCGCGCAACUGACGCUCAUGCACGAAAGCGUGGGUAUCGAACAGGAUUAGAUACCCCGGUAGUC